rnacentral:rRNA from 1 species
UACGGAGGGAGCUAGCGUUAUUCGGAAUUACUGGGCGUAAAGCGCACGUAGGCGGCUUUGUAAGUUAGAGGUGAAAGCCUGGAGCUCAACUCCAGAAUUGCCUUUAAGACUGCAUCGCUCGAAUCCAGGAGAGGUGAGUGGAAUUCCGAGUGUAGAGGUGAAAUUCGUAGAUAUUCGCAAGAACACCAGUGGCGAAGGCGGCUCACUGGCCCGGUACUGACGCUGAGGUGCGAAAGCGUGGGGAGCAAACAGG